UACGUAGGGUGCGAGCGUUAAUCGGAAUUACUGGGCGUAAAGCGUGCGUAGGCGGUUCGUUAAGUUCGUUGUGAAAGCCCCGGGCUCAACCUGGGAAUGGCAAUGGAAACUGGCGGGCUUGAGUAUGGCAGAGGGGGGUGGAAUUCCGCGUGUAGCAGUGAAAUGCGUAGAGAUGCGGAGGAACACCGAUGGCGAAGGCAGCCCUCUGGGCCAAUACUGACGCUCAGGCACGAAAGCGUGGGGAGCAAACAGG
rnacentral:rRNA from 1 species